GAUGAACGCUGGCGGCGUGCCUAAUACAUGCAAGUCGAGCGAACAGGCGAGGAUCUUGCUCCUCUGACGUUAGCGGCGGACGGGUGAGUAACACGUGGAUAACCUACCUAUAAGACUGGGAUAACUUCGGGAAACCGGAGCUAAUACCGGAUAAUAUAUUGAACCGCAUGGUUCAAUAGUGAAAGACGGUUUUGCUGUCACUUAUAGAUGGAUCCGCGCCGCAUUAGCUAGUUGGUAAGGUAACAGCUUACCAAGGCAACGAUGCGUAGCCGACCUGAGAGGGUGAUCGGCCACACUGGAACUGAGACACGGUCCAGACUCCUACGGGAGGCAGCAGUAGGGAAUCUUCCGCAAUGGGCGAAAGCCUGACGGAGCAACGCCGCGUGAGUGAUGAAGGUCUUCGGAUCGUAAAACUCUGUUAUUAGGGAAGAACAAAUGUGUAAGUAACUAUGCACGUCUUGACGGUACCUAAUCAGAAAGCCACGGCUAACUACGUG
rnacentral:rRNA from 1 species